rnacentral:rRNA from 1 species
UACGUAGGGGGCAAGCGUUGUCCGGAAUCAUUGGGCGUAAAGAGCGUGUAGGCGGUCCGGUAAGUCGGUUGUGAAAGUCCAGGGCUCAACCCUGGGAUGCCGACCGAUACUGUCGGACUAGAGUUCGGAAGAGGCGAGUGGAAUUCCCGGUGUAGCGGUGAAAUGCGCAGAUAUCGGGAGGAACACCUAUGGCGAAGGCAGCUCGCUGGGACGUUACUGACGCUGAGACGCGAAAGCGUGGGGAGCGAACGGG